CAAGAAACUAAAAAAUUGAAUAAUAAGAUAAAUUAAUUUAUCUAAGUUCUAAUUUAGAAUGCUCAAAUUCUUAAUCGUAGCAGUCGCGAGUUAUUUCUAUUUUAUAGUAGAGUGUGUAAGCGACAAAUAAAAUAUAAGAUAGCGGCUGCAAGAGUCAAAUGCCGGCGCUGUGCACCUUUGCUCUACGCCGCCAAAUUUCUACCCUCUCAACGGUUAAUUUGAACAAAACGAUCAACAGCUUCAUUGGAAACGGAAACCUCCAAGAAGCUCGGAAGCUCUUCGAUCAAAGCCCUCACUUGACAAAUGUCGUAUCAUGGAAUUCCCUUAUCGGUGGUUACUUUAAACACAACCUCAUCCAACAAGCAGAGUACCUGUUUGACAAAAUGCCUCACAGAGAUGUCGUUUCUUGGAACACCAUGCUCUCCGGAUAUCGCAACGCUAACAACCCAGAGAAAGUAUAUAGAUGUUUUCUAGAUAUGAACAGAUGUGGAGAAAUGAGACCCAAUGAGCUCACUUUUGCAGUGUCAAUUAGCUCCUUCUUGCAUUUAGAUUACGAGCAUUUGAUCCCUCAGCUUCACGGUCUCGUGCUCUGUUUGGGGAUAAGUCUCAAUGUCUUUGUAGGGUCAGCAUUGAUGAGGGGUUAUGUUGAUUUGGAUGAUUACAGAGGUUUAGCUCGAGUUUUUUAUGAGAUUUUGGAUAAAGAUGUUACGCCGUGGAAUGUGUUGAUUUUGGGUUAUAUGAAAUUUGGGUGCACAAGUGAGGCGCAGAGGGCUUUUGAUAUGAUGCCUAUGAGAAAUUCUUUUACUUGGAGUACUUUGAUCAAUGGGUAUAUUGAGAACAAGAAGCUUAAUGAAGCUCGAUUCGUUUUUGAUAAGAUGAGUGAGAAAGAUGUGGUUUCUUGGACAGCAAUGAUAAGAGGGUAUGUGCAAUAUGGAGAGUUUAUGAAUGCUUUGAAAUUAUUUAAGUUGAUGUUGAACUCGGGUUCUCGUCCUAAUCAUUUUACGUUUUCAACUGUUUUAGAUGCCUGUGCAGGCUACUCUGCUGUUCUGGUAGGCAAUCAAGUUCAUGCGUGCAUCUUGAAGUCCGGUUUCCCUCUUGAUGUAGUCUUGUUGACCUCCCUUCUUGACAUGUAUGCUAAAUGUGGAGACAUUGAAGUUGCUUUCUGCAUUUUUGAGUCUAUCCCGGCAAGGAAUUUGGUAGCUUGGAAUUCGAUCAUUGGAGGUUAUGCAAGACAUGGGCUUGCAGAGAGGGCAAUGCAGGAGUUUGAGAGGAUGCUAAAGAGUGGUAUCAGGCCUGAUGAAAUUACUUUUAUUAAUUUGGUAUAUGCAUGUGGCCAUGGUGGGCUAGUCGAGGAAGGUGAGAGAAUUUUCAAUUCUAUGGUAACAGAGUACGGAUUGAAAGCAGAGAUGGGACACUAUGCAUGUAUGGUGGACUUGUAUGGAAGGGCAGGUCAGCUUGAGAAAGCAGAAAAACUAAUCGAUGGGAUGCCUUUUAAGCCUGAUGUGGUCGUCUGGGGGGCAUUGCUAGGAGCAUGUGGCUUGCACUCAUGUCUAGAGCUCGGAGAGAUUGCAGCAAAUGGAAUCUAUACAUUGGAACACGACCAUCCUGCAGUAUACUCGGUGCUUUCCAAAAUCUAUGGAGACAAAGGAGUCUGCAGUGACAUAACUGGUUUGGAUAAGUUGAUGAAGAAAUGGCGUGCUACAAAGCAGAAGGCUGGUAGUUGGAUCGAAUCUCCUUCCAUAAACUGAAAUGUUUGUCUACUAUGAGGCAAGUGACUUUCUACACAAUGCUUCCAUUAAGAAACUAACGUCCAAUUCUGGCAAACCGACGCAAAUGAUCAGAAAUGGUGCUUUCUUCCAAGGUUCAUAUCCAAGUCCAAAACAAUCCGCUCUGUUUUUAUCACAUCGGCAAAAUGGGAAUGUAUAUGUUCCUUCUUGGAAGAGGAUUUGUGUCAGUACCACUGUUGAAAAUUUCGAGCAGGAGAAGCAGUCUUCCAAUGAAUUCCUUCUUGAUGAAUGCCUCGUUGAGGUAUUCAAACGUCUUUCCAGUGGCCAAGAGAGAAGUGCUUGUGCUUGUAUUUCCAAGCGCUGGCUUAUGCUUUUAAGCAGCAUCCGCAGGGAUGAAGCAUUUGCCUUCAAGCCCAAUCUGAAUGCUGAAGAGGAAUCUACUCAGCGUACCCAAGUUAAAAUUGGUGAGAUUGCAGAAUCUGCUGGUGUAGAAGGUGAGGGAUAUCUUGCCAGGUCCCUUGCUGGCAGGAAGCCACAGAUGUCAGACUUGCUGCUAUUGCCAUUGGAACUGCAAACCUUGGAGGCUUAGUAAAGCUAUCUAUCUGGGGAGACAACCUUUGUCGUGGUGUGACUGAUACUGGUCUCAAGGCUAUCGCUCGAGGUUGCCCUACUCUCAAACAUCUUUUCCUAUGGGAUUUGUCUUCUGUUGGUGAUGAAGGCUUAUCUGAGAUUGCUCAUGAGUGUCAUCUGUUAGAGAAGCUUGAUCUUUUCCAAUGCCCAACAAUUACUGACAAGUCUUUACUCGAAAUUGCGGUGAACUGCCCCAAUAUGACCUCUAUAACAAUGGAUUCUUGUUCAAACUUUGUGAAUGAGUCUCUCAAAGCUGUCGGUCAAUAUUGCCUGAACCUGAAGCUUGUUGUAUUUAGAAAUUGUCCACUCUAGAAUGAAGCUGUUAUCAAGAUGUUUGCCAUACUUCUCUGAGAAUGCACAUCCUGGAUUUUUUUGGUCCUGGCUCCUUUGCCAGUAGUUUUUAGCUUCUAGCACUGCAUUGCUGAGAAAAUUUUACUACAAUAAAAACUUUUUUCACCAUAUCUCUUAUGUUCCUGUUUAGUUUGGAGUGAAUUUAUUUGAAAGUUUUUUUUUGGGUUGGCCCUUCUCCUGUAUCUGCAAUAUGGAGACACUUUAUGAAGGCUUUGAAAUUGCUUAAGUUGAUGUUCAUUUUACGUUUUCAACUG